rnacentral:rRNA from 1 species
ACGAACGCUGGCGGCAGGCUUAACACAUGCAAGUCGAACGCCCCGCACGGGGAGCGGCAGACGGGUGAGUAACGCGUGGGAACAUACCCUUUUCUACGGAAUAGCUCUGGGAAACUGGAAUUAAUACCGUAUACGCCCUACGGGGGAAAGAUUUAUCGGGGAAGGAUUGGCCCGCGUUGGAUUAGCUAGUUGGUGGGGUAAAGGCCUACCAAGGCGACGAUCCAUAGCUGGUCUGAGAGGAUGAUCAGCCACAUUGGGACUGAGACACGGCCCAAACUCCUACGGGAGGCAGCAGUGGGGAAUAUUGGACAAUGGGCGCAAGCCUGAUCCAGCCAUGCCGCGUGAGUGAUGAAGGCCUUAGGGUUGUAAAGCUCUUUCACCGAUGAAGAUAAUGACGGUAGUCGGAGAAGAAGCCCCGGCUAACUUCGUG